UUCAUGUUUAUGAAAUAACACUCUGUCCGUCCAUGUGUGAUCGUAAGAAACGGUCGUCUACGAACACGCACGGCCUCGCCAGUUCUGUUUUCACUUCCUGGUUUUUGUAUCACAAUUUUCAACGAACUCCAUCACCCUCUUUCGUGAUCCACGAACUUUACAAUUAUCCUCAAAAGCCACGUCCAAAGACCCCAACAAACAACAAUAACAUCACCGCCUCCGACUCCAAGCAACCGCCAUUUCCAUUACCGUCGUAGAAGAGGUCAUUUGCGGUGGCCACCAGGGAACUGUUGUUGGGGAUAGCGUCUUGGAUUAUCAAGAAAGUUUCCAUAUCAUCUUGGUCUUGCCAAGCUUCUGGGUUACGUUAAGGGUUGACCUACCAUGGAGAGCACAAAUACAAGAAAAGCGUGCUUCACACCAUUCUGACAUGCUCAGGACAUGGAUGUUGAAGAGGGAGAGAGAGAGAGAGAGAGAGCCCAGCGUGAAACUGGUGUGAGGAAGUGGAUUCCCACCCCAAGGUGUAUGCUAGUUGUACCAUAAUAUGGUACUUUAUCUUAUCAGGGUUGAGCUACCAUGGAGCACAAAAACAAGAAAAAUGUGCUUCACAUCAUUCUCACGUACUCUGGCCAUGGGUGUUGAAAGGGGAGAGAGAGCCCAACGCAAAACUGGUGUGAGAGUGACCAGUCUCUAACAUCUCCUACAAUACACACAAGUUCACAUUGGAGAUGUAUGGUUAGGGUCUGUAGAGAUGGGCUCCUUCUUAACAAGCAACAUAUUCCAGGGAGUUCUUGCUUGAUCAUAAACACUCGUAGUGUUAAUUCUGUUGUGCUCUGAAGCUGAAGCAAAUUCUCCGUACUACUAGAUUGUGUUGAUGCUAGAACCUGAAAAUAACAAUGAGAAUGUGAU